UCAUUGAAAACAAAUAUCACUGAAAAUAAGGAGACGCCUGAAGACUAUGGGUAAUAUCUGCUUCCUUCAAAACAUGGAGAGGCCUGGAGCUGAAAGGGAGGGAAGGAUGGGAUGGAGUUGAAAGGGAGAGCAUGGGUAAUCGCUGCUUCAUUGAGAACAGAGAGAGGCCUGGAGCUGAAUAGCUGCUCCAUUAAAAGCAGGGAGAUGCCUAGAGCUGAAUGGGGAAGAUGGGCUGGAGCUGAAAAGAUUAGAAAAUGAAAGGGGAUUUCUAUGUUAGAGAGAGAGGGGGUUUCUAUGUUAGAGAGAGAAAUUGAAAGGGGGUUUUCUGUUAGAGAGAGAAAGAAAUAGAAAUUGAAAGGGAGUUUUCCGUUAGAGAGAGAAAAAGAAAUAGAAAUUGAAAGGGGGUUUUCUCUGUGAGAGAAAUUGGAACGGGGUUUUCCGUUAGAGAGAGAAAAUGAAAUGCGGUUCUUAAGGUUUUUCUCUGUAAUUGCAGGAGCAAGAAGAUGAAGUUUUUUUUCUGAAAUUUGCAGGAGCAUGAAGAUUAUGAAAUUUGCAGGAGCAAGAAGAUGGAGUUUUUUUCUGAAAUUUGCAAGAGCAUGACGAUUAUGAAAUUUGCAGGAGCAUGAAAUUAGGACUUGCAAUCGGGGACCAGGUGAUAUGCCUUUAUAUGCAUCCGGUAGCCUUAAUGGCACUCGGACUUCCAAGUUCGGUUGGACUGUGGGUCCGCGGUGAACCUCCUUCCUUUAAAUAGAUGUAAAGCAUGCUGGGACACAAUGAUCUCAAACCCAUUCAAGGCUUUAACCAAGAUGGCGAGGUGGAUGACCUGAGGACUCAGCCCCUAAUUAAAUGUUAUAGGCUUGGACACCUCUUAUAACAUGCUGUUGGCAACUCUCUAGUUGCAUGAUUGUGGCGUAGUUCUGUUACAAUGCUCAAGGAUGUGCAAAACAUACAGCAAAAGACUGUUUGCGCAGACAAGAAGCCCUUUGCGCAAGUCACAUGCAGCCGUUGCUAAA